rnacentral:rRNA from 1 species
UACGGAAGGCAGCAGUGGGGAAUAUUGCACAAUGGGCGAAAGCCUGAUGCAGCUAUGCCGCGUGUAUGAAGAAGGCCUUAGGGUUGUAAAGUACUUUCAUCGGGGAGGAAAAAACAAAACUAAUAAUUUUAUUUCUUGACGUUACCCGAAAAAGAAGCACCGGCUAACUCCGUGCCAGCAGCCGCGGUAAUACGGAGGGUGCUAGCGUUAAUCAGAAUUACUGGGCGUAAAGAGCACGUAGGUGGUUUUUUUAAAGUCAGAUGUGAAAUCCCUGGGCUUUAACCUAGGAACUGCAUUUUGAAACUGAAAUACUAGAGUAUCGUAGAGGGAGGUAGAAUUCUAGGUGUAGCGGUGAAAUGCGUAGAUAUCUGGAGGAAUACCUGUGGCGAAAGCGGCCUCCUAAACGAAUACUGACACUGAGGGUGCGAAAGCGUGGGGAGCAAACAGGGAUUUAGAUACCCGU